rnacentral:rRNA from 1 species
GAUCAGGCUCAGGACGAACGCUGGCGGCGUGCCUAACACAUGCAAGUCGAACGGAGUCGGCCCCGCAAGGGACUGACUUAGUGGCGAACGGGUGAGUAACGCGUGAGCAACCUGCCUUUCAGUGGGGGACAACAGUUGGAAACGACUGCUAAUACCGCAUAAUGCAUUUUGAUCGCAUGGUCGAGAUGCCAAAGAUUUAUUGCUGAAAGAUGGGCUCGCGUCUGAUUAGAUAG